rnacentral:rRNA from 1 species
GAUGAACGCUGGCGGCAUACCUAAUACAUGCAAGUCGAGCGAAUGGAUUAAGAGCUUGCUCUUAUGAAGUUAGCGGCGGACGGGUGAGUAACACGUGGGUAACCUGCCCAUAAGACUGGGAUAACUCCGGGAAACCGGGGCUAAUACCGGAUAACAUUUUGAACCGCAUGGUUCGAAAUUGAAAGGCGGCUUCGGCUGUCACUUAUGGAUGGACCCGCGUCGCAUUAGCUAGUUGGUGAGGUAACGGCUCACCAAGGCAACGAUGCGUAGCCGACCUGAGAGGGUGAGCGGCCACACUGGGACGGAGACACGGCCCAGACUCCUACGGGAGGCAGCAGUAGGGAAUCUUCCGCAAUGGACGAAAGUCUGACGGAGCAACGCCGCGUGAGUGAUGAAGGCUUUCGGGUCGUAAAACUCUGUUGUUAGGGAAGAACAAGUGCUAGUUGAAUAAGCUGGCACCUUGACGGUACCUAACCAGAAAGCCACGGCUAACUACGUGCCAGCCGCCGCAGUAA